AUGGCUUGGUUCGACGACCACUCGCAGAGGCCGGCCGAGGUGUUUACGGUGAUCCACGCCACGCCGGCCAUGCACCAGGAGGCGGCGCUCCUCGGCUCGAACGCCGUCGUUACUUGGCUCGACCGCGACCUCAGGGCCUCCACGCAAGACAUCGCCAACGCCAUCGUCCAGGAGAUGGGCAUGCUGUCGGACGACGUGUGCGUCGUCAAGCACUUCCCAGAGGCCUUUCUGAUGCGGUUCUUCCACCAGCACCACUGCGCAGAUGCAGCCGGGCGCCGCGACCUGAAGUUCAGAGACACCAGGUUGCAGAUGCGUCCUUGGAGGUUUGAGGCCCAUUCCAAGAACGUGGACCUCGUCCACCACGUCCGUCUCUGCUUGGACGGGCUCCCGCUACAGGCGUGGGACGACUACGCCGUCGCGCAGGCCAUCGGGCCGGGAUGCUCCAUCGACUACAUCAAGACCGCCUCCAAGCUCAAGACAGACACUGAGGUGUUGGGGGUGUGGGCGUGGACGGCGUCGCCGGCGAACGUGCCGCGCGUGAACUGGGUGACCCUGCCGGCGCGUGCGGGGGGGAGGGGGCAGCCUAUCAUCGGGCAUCGUGGCUUGGAGCGGCGGGUGAUCAUUCACCUGUCCAUCCAUGAAGACCCCACACAGGGUCCCAAGAUCGUCUCCAAGGGGUUCACCUUCCAGAAGGGUGUCAUCGAUGGCGAGAGACAUGCGCGUGAUCCCCGCGAGCACAUCUCUCGCCCUGUCGACCACCACAGGAGGGACCGUGACAACGACCAUGACCACGGUCGAGAUGACGACGGACGCCGCUGCCGCAACAGCUCACGGAGCCGCGAGGGGUGGGGUGACCGCAUCAGGCAUAGCCUCUCGCGCUAG
rnacentral:rRNA from 1 species